ACAUGCUUACAACAUAGCGUUAAUGCACCAGAUCCCAUUAGAACUCCACAGUUAAGAGCACUUGGGAUAGAUUAGUACUGAGAUGGGUGACUGCUCAGGAAGUCCUAGUGUUUUACAUGCC
rnacentral:rRNA from 1 species